rnacentral:rRNA from 1 species
AUGAUGUGGUUUAAUUCGAUGCAAACGACGAAAACCUUAACCCACCUUUGACAUGGCAGGAACUCCUAAAGAGAUUUGGAGUGCUCGAAAGAGAACCUGCACACAGGUGCUGCAUGGCUGUCGUCAGCUCGUGUCGUGAGAUGUUGGGUUAAGUCCCGCAACGAGCGCAACCCUUGCCAUUAGUUGCUACGAAAGGGCACUCUAAUGGGACUGCCGGUGACAAACCGGAGGAAGGUGGGGAUGACGUCAAGUCCUCAUGGCCCUUAUAGGUGGGGCUACACACGUCAUACAAUGGCCGGUACAGAGGGUAGCCAACCCGCGAGGGGGAGCCAAUCCCACAAAGCCGGUCGUAGUCCGGAUCGCAGUCUGCAACUCGACUGCGUGAAGUCGGAAUCGCUAGUAAUCGCGGAUCAGCAUGUCGCGGUGAAUACGUUCCCGGGUCUU